GGGUUCGUGUGUUAUUGUAUAAAAGAGCUGUAAAUUGUAAAUGUAUUCAGAUCAGUAGAGAAUAGAAUUGGGAUUAGAUUAAUUGCUGGAAGUAGUUAGCAUUGCCCAAUUUAAGUGCUACUACUAAAUUCUAACCAAUAUUCAAAUUUCGACACGUUGUAAUGCCGUUUCCUGACCAUCAGAUUUCUGUCAAAUCUUCCCCCAAAGUCCAGGAAAUGGCAUUUCAGAGACUUUAAAUUCAAAAAUUUUCCUGGGGGGCAUGCCCCCGGACCCCCCUAGACAAACCUCGCACCUGCGGCGCUCGGCUCGUGCCUUCGGCCCUCGUUUAUCAAGGGUAAUAUUAUAGGGGCGCAUAUUAGUUGCCAGCCGACUGGCCUCCCCAGAAAAAUAGUACCCAGCACGCCACUG